UGAGUACUGGUGCCUGGCGGCCUGA
rnacentral:piRNA from 1 species